rnacentral:rRNA from 1 species
GAUGAACGCUGGCGGCGUGCCUAAUACAUGCAAGUCGAGCGAACAGACGAGGAGCUUGCUCCUCUGACGUUAGCGGCGGACGGGUGAGUAACACGUGGAUAACCUACCUAUAAGACUGGGAUAACUUCGGGAAACCGGAGCUAAUACCGGAUAAUAUAUUGAACCGCAUGGUUCAAUAGUGAAAGACGGUUUUGCUGUCACUUAUAGAUGGAUCCGCGCAGCAUUAGCUAGUUGGUAAGGUAACGGCUUACCAAGGCAACGAUGCGUAGCCGACCUGAGAGGGUGAUCAGCCACACUGGAACUGAGACACGGUCCAGACUCCUACGGGAGGCAGCAGUAGGGAAUCUUCCGCAAUGGGCGAAAGCCUGACGGAGCAACGCCGCGUGAGUGAUGAAGGUCUUCGGAUCGUAAAACUCUGUUAUUAGGGAAGAACAAAUGUGUAAGUAACUAUGCACGUCUUGACGGUACCUAAUCAGAAAGCCACGGCUAACUACGUG